rnacentral:lncRNA from 1 species
ACAGAGAGGAAAGAUCCAAGCAGGACCGAAAGCUGGGGAGAGCCCGAAAGGUCAGCGUGUGGACCCGGAGCUGAAGAGGGCGCGCCCCACCUCGGCUCCGAGCUGGAGCCCCGGGCGGCAGAAGCCUGGGAGGAAGGACGCCCGAGAGAGAGGCAGUGCCCGGCGGGCAGAGGUGGAGCGGCUCGGGCCGAGGGACCCUGGAAAGGGAAGGAUUCGGAUCCCAGUUCCUGAGACUGUAGGAAUCGGACGAGAUCGCACAACCAGCCUCUUUCCGCUCUGGAGAGUCCAGUGACACUUAGAAAAGGCCGAGAGGCAAGCCCCAAGCUUCGGGAGCAUUUCGGGCAAGUGGGAAACGGGCCUGGAAUCCUGGGCACCACUGCCUCGUCCUGUUGAGGAGCGUUCACUGACUUUCCCUGUCCUGACAACAGGGACUGAAGGAUGAAUUAGGUAGAUGUCGGGAGACCACAGCCUGGAGACAGGGACACAGGGGGACCGACAUGCAAAAGCCGAUUAAAAUAGGGAUGACAAGUGCCAGGAGACAGGAAGUGGGAACACAGAGGAAGGGCUCCUCACACAUCCCCGGGGCUCAGGGGAGGCCCCUGGGAGAGGUCCGGAAGGUUAAGCCCAGGGUAGCUGAGGGAAGGAGCAGGUGCUGAGGCGGAGAGGAAAAGUGUGGGUGCCUGCAAGGGACUGCUGGCUCUUAGGCCCGCCUGGAGCGCAGAGCCAGUGGCAGGAGCUGAAGUUGCGUCUUCCGGCCACACCAGCGGUUUGUACUUUAUAUAUACGAGGUGGUGGGGAAUCUUUGCCAGAUGUGAAGUAGGGUGGCUGGAGCCCAUCUGAGCUUUGGGGAGGCCUGGACUGGAGGGGGCAAGCUGGAGGCAGAGAUCAGUGGGGAGCCGGGCAGUGAGGGGAGAGGUCCCCGGAGACCCAGCUCAGGGGUUUCUCGCUCCUCCCAGAUGCAGGGUGCAGACGGAGCCGCUGGAGAAAGGCCACUCUAGAAGCUGGGCAAGGAAGACCAGCUGGGCUGGAGGGGCCAAAGGGCUUCAGGAGCCCAGACUCUGGGCCUUCGGGAGAAACACGGAAGGAAAGGCGGUGACCCACGGGAGAUGGCCGUUCCUGCAGGUCAGAGAUCAUGAACGUUGGCAAUUUCAUCUUGUUGCACCUGCCGGGUGUCAGAGCCACCUGGACCCUUUGCUAUGCACACAUCUGGUGACAGAUACAGAUCAGGCCACAGGGCCCGGAUGGUGUGAGACAACAGUGCGGCUCCAUGCCAGCCACCCCCGGAGCUCUGAGAACUGCAGCAGUGACAAAAGAGGAGCGCUUUAAAGAGCCUCGACUCCUCGGGGUUCCCAAAGUCCCUACAGAGCCGCCACUCCCUGGGGUGAGGAUGAGGUGAACCCCUGGGAGGUAGGGGAGAAUUUCAUUCCACCGAGAGGGGGGGUGUGAUGCCUUCCUGGGGAGCUAGAGGGCACAGGCAGAGAGUGGGCAGGAAAGGACCUGAUCAAACUAAAAACUGAUCCGUGUAAUUAAAGCAAUGGUGCACGUGACCAUGGGAGUGAGUUUUUAAAUGUUCCAGGGCUUGUUUUCCUGAAAGUGUAAGUGUUUUGUUGCUGAUGAGUCAAGAGCACCAGCCGUGACUUCCUUCUCUAGGGUCCUUUCCUACAGCUGUGUGACCAGGGUGGGAACAACUAGCCUCUCUGUGCCUCUCUCGCUUCAUCCAGCUUCCUGUCCUCACUAUUGUUCCGUGUCAGUGUGUGCGGCGAUGCUUUAGGAUCUCCACCGGUGUGAUUCCUGGUGUGGUUAACGACACGCGCGAACAAAUGUGUUUUUCCACUCCGAGGCGCGUGUCCCAGAAAACUCAUCUGUCCACCCAAAAAGCUGUGCACAACUAGGGAUAGAACCAUUAUUCAGAAUGGCUAAAUGGGAGAACCAACCCACAUGUCCAUCAGCCGACGAGUGGAUACAUACAGUGUGGUAUAUUCCUCCGAUGGAAUACUAUCCACCUAUAAAAAAGACUGAGACUGGGAGUUCCUGUUGUGCCUCAGUGGAAACGACCCCGACUGGUAUCCCUGAGGAUUCAGGUUUGAUCUCUGGCCUCAAAAUGCAGUAGAUUAAGGAUCCCGCAUUGCCCUGAGCUGUGGUGUAGGUUGCAGACACAGCUCGAAUCUGGCGUUGCUGUGGCUGUGGCCGGCAGCUGCAGCCCUGAUUGGCCCUCUAGCCUGGCAACUUCCAUAUGCCGUGGGUGCGGCC